GAUGAACGCUGGCGGCGUGCCUAAUACAUGCAAGUCGAGCGAACAGACGAGGAGCUUGCUCCUCUGACGUUAGCGGCGGACGGGUGAGUAACACGUGGAUAACCUACCUAUAAGACUGGGAUAACUUCGGGAAACCGGAGCUAAUACCGGAUAAUAUAUUGAACCGCAGGGUUCAAUAGUGAAAGACGGUUUUGCUGUCACUUAUAGAUGGAUCCGCGCCGCAUUAGCUAGUUGGUAAGGUAACGGCUUACCAAGGCAACGAUGCGUAGCCGACCUGAGAGGGUGAUCGGCCACACUGGAACUGAGACACGGUCCAGACUCCUACGGGAGGCAGCAGUAGGGAAUCUUCCGCAAUGGGCGAAAGCUUGACGGAGCAACGCCGCGUGAGUGAUGAAGGUCUUCGGAUCGUAAAACUCUGUUAUUAGGGAAGAACAAAUGUGUAAGUAACUAUGCACGUCUUGACGGUACCUAAUCAGAAAGCCACGGCUAACUACGUG
rnacentral:rRNA from 1 species